rnacentral:rRNA from 1 species
UACGUAGGGUGCGAGCGUUAGUCGGAAUUACUGGGCGUAAAGCGUGCGCAGGCGGUCUGUUAAGUCCGAUGUGAAAUCCCCGGGCUUAACCUGGGAACUGCAUUGGUGACUGGCAGGCUUUGAGUGUGGCAGAGGGAGGUAGAAUUCCACGUGUAGCAGUGAAAUGCGUAGAGAUGUGGAGGAAUACCGAUGGCGAAGGCAGCCUCCUGGGCCAACACUGACGCUCAUGCACGAAAGCGUGGGGAGCAAACAGG